rnacentral:rRNA from 1 species
GGGGAAUUGUUCGCAAUGGGCGCAAGCCUGACGACGCAACGCCGCGUGGAGGAUGAAGAUCUUCGGGUCGUAAACUCCUGUCGAGCGGGACGAACACUUACCGGGCUAACAUCCGGGUAGGCUGACGGUACCGCUAAAGGAAGCCCCGGCUCACUCCGUGCCAGCAGCCGCGGUAAUACGGGGGGGGCAAGCGUUGUUCGGAAUUACUGGGCGUAAAGGGCUCGUAGGCGGCCAACUAAGUCGGACGUGAAAUCCCCAGGCUCAACCUGGGAACUGCGUCUGAUACUGGAUGACUUGAAUCCGGGAGAGGGAUGCAGAAUUCCAGGUGUAGCGGUGAAAUGCGUAGAUAUCUGGAGGAACACCGGUGGCGAAGGCGGCAUCCUGGACCGACAUUGACGCUGAGGCGCGAAAGCUAGGGGAGCAAAC